UAUUCAUUUAAAAAAACAAAAACACCUACUUAGAUUUCAUAGACUGUAACCAGUUUUAGACUUUGCUUAACCUUUAUUCUAGGAGGUAAAAUUGUGAUGGGUGUUGUCAAUGACCUAAAAACAGUGGUGCUGGCAUGAUCUCUUCUUCAUGAUUUCUAACCAGUUAAAGUUCUGCUGUUGGCUCUGAGCAUCCUCAUCACUAUGAAACACAAUAUGUUUGGCUGCAGUUUGAGAUGGCAAUGGUCUAGAAGAAUCCCUUGGAAUGUACUAAAUUACCAAGAUAGUGGAAUCCUUUUCCACCUAAGGACAGUAGCUGGAGGAAAGAUGGAGUUCGUUUUUAGCCCAAACAGCCAGUGAGAUGUUAGAAUGACUAGAGUAAAAUAAAAAUGUUUUCUGACAAGAAAAGAAUGGAUUGGUUAUGUAUAGAAGUAAGUCAUCUGCACAGAAGUUGAGUAUAUGGUGGAAAGCAGCUAUGUGGAAAGCAGCACUCCCUGAAUGACCUUUAGAUCUUCAUACCUAAAGGUUCAUCAGUUUAAAAUGAUUGUCUUGGAUGAAAAUGGCAAACCUAGUGUGCACUUCUGAAAAUAUAAGUAUUUAAAGGUAGCAUUCUGAGCAUUUGGGUAGAAGGAUGUUUGUAAAGAAGAGGAAACCAGCUUGAUAAAAUGAGAAAUGAAGCUGCCUCAUCCAAGCAUGUAUAAUAGCUAUUGCCAUUCAAUACGGCUGAAAGGUUUUUUCUGCAGCUAAUGGAAAAUGCAGCUUCUGAAGUGUCACUAAUUUUGACAGAGACCUCAAUGUCUUCAGUUAAGUCUCAAACUUAAAUGGGAUGUGCAAAUAUAUUUUUUCAUAUUCUCUUUUGUUUUCUUGAGUGUUAAAUCCAAAAUUACUUGUCCUUGGUACUAAGAGCAUAUUACUGAUAGUGGCAGGUGGUUCAUCUAGUUACCUGGUUCCUUUCUUGACUUUAGACAAAUCCCUUCAUGUGAUCUAAUGUCUCUUCUCAUAUCCAUAUUCUUGAAAAAGUCAUCUUCAUUAUGAGACUGCAUUAUUUGAAGUUUUAGGAAAAUUCCAGCCAACAACUUCAUUUUCAGUUCUUCUCCUACUGCACUACAUGUAACAUUUCCUUAUUAAAUUUGAUCAUAAAUGGAAUAGUAUGUGGCAUAGAGCACUCAUUGUUCAUACACAGCGAUUUGUAUCCUUCUGUCUAAGGGUCCACUGAAUUCAAUUAAGACGGCACUUCAAUACUUAGGAGCUUCAAGACUUUUAUUAAUGUGUUCAUGUAGUAUGAAGGACAAUAAAUCAAACUAUGUAUGAUACUUAUAUAUGUAAAUAUAAGUUAAUAUAUACUAUGCAUUAUAAGGUGUCAAAAUAUGAAUACUUGGACUCAGUAUAAGUCCUUUGAAGCCAUUGGCAU
rnacentral:lncRNA from 1 species